UGCCAAAGUAACAUUCACGUGGAUGCCAGGACCCGAGGACAAAGAUAUCCAGGGAGCUGUACUGCAACUCAGGCUUCACGUCAGAGCUUUGUCCUGAUUUGUGUACUUGUGGUAAACUACACCGAGUGUGGUGAAAAAGUUUCCCAUGAAAAGCACAAGGAAAGUGGAACCACACAUAAGGACCUGCAGACAAAUGGAGGACAUAGGAUGUUGUUUAAACACUUUCUCACCUGCCACUCCUUCCACUCUGGCAGCUGAGCCAUUUGGAAAAGGACUGAUGACACAAACAUAUAUUCGACACUGGAAACUUCAGGUCACUCCAGAAGAAUACGACUUGUUGUAAUGCUCACUGUAACACUCACAUGACCAAAGAAAAGGAAGGGCAACAGAAAAGUAAGGCCUCUGCACAUCCAGG